AAACUGACAUCGAAUUAUAAAUCAAGCCAACAUCAUCAAGCCGAAAAGGUGGAGGCGAAGAGACGAAUCCUCCGACCGGACGGAGAUCAAUAGCGUUCCCGGGCCCGCUCCUCCGCCGCCGUUCCUGCCUGCCCCAGUUGGCAAGGCGAUCCCCGUUGGAAUAUGGCGUUGUAAUGGGACGAUUUUGAAGGCGCCGACUUUCUGGCUCGUUUUCUGCUCGACGCCCUGCACCCACUCCCUUCCUGAGACGCUCUCCUCCUUAGUAUUGCAUUAAUGGUAAUGCAUGCGAGGAAACUACCACGUAUUAGCGAUGGGUUCAACGAGAAGCACCAGGCCCACAGCUACGAGAAUUCAAAAUACAGUAGUAAGUACCGCUACAGCAACCAUGAGAAAAACAGGGACUCUCCCUCUACAAAUUCUCUGCGAUCCUCCUCACCAGACUCUCGAUCACAGUCUCCGCGCUACCACAAGGGUG